GGGGUUGUGACUCAGAGGUAGAGCACACACCUAGCACGCGUGAGGCACUGGGUUCGAUCCUCAGCACCACA
rnacentral:tRNA from 1 species